GGUGCUGUGGCUUAGUUGGUCAAAGUGCCUGUCUAGUAAACAGGAGAUCCUGGGUUCAUAUCUCAGCAUUGCCU
rnacentral:tRNA from 1 species